UACGUAGGGGGCAAGCGUUGUCCGGAUUUAUUGGGCGUAAAGAGCGUGUAGGCGGCCAGAUAGGUCCGUUGUGAAAACUGGAGGCUUAACCUCCAGCUGUCGAUGGAAACCAUCUGGCUAGAGUCCGGAAGAGGAGAGUGGAAUUCCUGGUGUAGCGGUGAAAUGCGCAGAUAUCAGGAAGAACACCCGUGGCGAAGGCGGCUCUCUGGGACGGUACUGACGCUGAGGCGCGAAAGCGUGGGGAGCGAACAGG
rnacentral:rRNA from 1 species